rnacentral:lncRNA from 1 species
ACUAAUAUUAAAAAGACAAACAUUAAAUAAGGGGUAGAAAAGUCUUCUAAGCAAUAACUACACCUUAAAAGUUGUGAGGGAGUAUGUUCUAUUGCGAUAUGUAUCUAACUUAAUCGGCUCAAAUGAUCCCCCCUCAGGUUUCAUAAUAAUACCAAAUAACAUUUCCUCUGUUCCCUUUUUUAGAUAAGUCAAAGAUAGACGAUAACAUUGAAAGACAUCUAGAAGAUCUGGAUUUACCUUUGUUUGAUCUGCAAACAAUUACUAGUGCCACUAACAACUUCUCGUUGAAUAAUAAGAUUGGACAAGGUGGUUUUGGAUCUGUAUACAAGGUAAUUGAAUGUUAGUUAAUUCAAGUAUUAAGUAUUGACAACAGAAAGAACAACUAGAGGAGUUUUAAUUAUGCAGGGAAAGUUAGCGGAUGGGCAAGAAAUUGCUGUCAAGAGACUUUCAACAAACUCUGGACAAGGAAUUACUGAGUUCUUAACAGAAGUAAAACUGAUUGCAAAACUUCAACACCGAAAUCUGGUUAAGCUUCUUGGCUGUUGUGUUGGAAGACAAGAAAAAUUUCUAGUAUAUGAAUACAUGGCUAACGGUAGCCUUGACUCCUUUAUCUUUGGUAUGAAUUAUGAAGAAUGCGCAGAUUAGGUGUUUAUUUAUCUACAUCAGCAAUAUUUGUUUAUUAAAUUGACAAUAAUAUGUUUACUUUCCACAAAUCAGAUAAAAUAACAGAUAAAUUGCUGGAGUGGCCACAACGCUUCGAAAUAAUAUUUGGAGUAGCGAGGGGACUUGUGUAUCUUCAUCAAGAUUCUCGAUUAAGGAUUAUUCAUAGAGAUCUCAAAGCAAGUAAUGUUUUGUUGGAUCACAAGUUGAACCCAAAAAUAUCAGAUUUUGGAAUGGCUAGAUCUUUUGGAGGAGACCAGAUUGAAGGAAAUACACAUAGAGUAGUUGGAACAUAGUGAGUGUCUGUCUAGAUUUGGAUUUUCAUUUUCCACGGUUAGAGAAUUCUGCAUUUGCCAAAGUCAAACAAUCUAGAUAGUUGGAUCUAGAUUGAUCGACUGCGAUCAAUGCAAGAUUCUCUAGCUCGACAUUACUUACUGUUCUCUUAUAGUUAAAUAUUGUUGCUCUAAUUGUUUCUAUUAGCGGAUACAUGGCACCAGAGUAUGCCAUUGGUGGACAAUUUUCAAUCAAAUCAGAUGUUUUCAGCUUUGGUGUUUUACUACUAGAGAUUAUAUGUGGGAACAAAAAUAGUGCACUUUAUCAUGGAAACGAGACACUAAACCUUGUUGGUUAUGUAAGUACCUACAUAUUUAUUUCUCUGUUUAUUUAUUUAUUAAUGUUGAAGUUGAAAUGUGUGAUUAAGGGUCUGUUUGGAUUGACUAAUUUGAACUUAUCCACCGAUAUAUAUACUCGUGAGAUUGUUUGAUAGAACUUAUGAAAAUAUCCUAUGACAUGUUGAUAAGCCGAAAAAAGGCCGUGAAGAUUGUCAUAAGUUCUCCCGUUUAAAUAUUAUGCAGGCAUGGAGAGUUUGGAAAGAGGGAAAAGCAUUAGAGUUGAUUGAGUCAAGAAUAAAGGAAUCAUGUGUUGUAUCAGAGGUAUUAAGAUGCAUACAUGUGAGUCUGUUGUGUGUGCAACAAUACCCGGAGGACAGACCUACAAUGACAUCUGUUAUUCAAAUGUUAGGUAGUGAUAUGGAAUUGGUUGAGCCUAAAGCACCUGGUUUCUGUCAAAGGAAGGUAUCUUCUGACGAAGAGUCACCAAAUCAAAAUGAAAUUAGUUCAAAUGAUGAAUUAACCAUUACAUCGCUAAAUGGACGAUGAGUGUAUAAUGUAAACAAAAAUACGGAUACUAGAUUGAUUGUUAC